UAAUUACAUCAGUAGGGAUUGGUAAAAGAGCCUAUUUUUUAAAGUCAACCUUAAGUUCUGAGGUUGAGGUCUAUUUUGUCUUAGUUUCCAAGAUCACCAUGAAGUUCACUCUCGACGUGAUUCGGAAGUCACUAAAGCCGUUGGUCCCGUUGCUGAAUAACCACUGGUUCCAUGCAACGGAAAAACACUAUAAAAACAAACAAACAACACCAUGACAUCAUGGAAGCACCCCUGGGGGAUUGGCGAAACCUCACCUUGUGGAUCUUGGCUGUCUACCUGUGCUCAAUGGCCCAGGAGUCAUCGUGGCUCAGAGCGAGUUGUUUGUAAAGAUAUGAUAGGAGCUAUAUAUUUUAUGGAAGGCUAUUAAGCAUUGGCAAGGUUUAACUAUAUAUGGUGAAGUCAGUGCCAGUACUUGACGCAAAGUUGUUCACAUUUUCACAUUGCCUAUAAGCUUGUCUAAACAGCUGUCAGAGGAAGGUGAUGUGAGUGUUAAAAAGUAGUUUGUAUGGUUGUAGAGACAUUUAUAUACAUACUUAUUGAAGAUCUGUAUAAAAUUUGAAGUCUUAUUGUUAUGUAUGCAAGAAGUUAUGUAACGAGCGCGGGAAAUCUUAGCUCCGCAGACACGUUCAGUUCAGAGCUGUUGCACUGUGUUGCAUAAUGCGUAAUGUUAUAAGUAUAACCAAUUAUUAUUGUGUUAGUAUCGAAUCCGACAGAGGCUUCGAUCUUAUAAAUUCUACCUCAUGUAUGCAGGAUUUGAAUCCUUAUUGUGUAUAGAGCUCCGAUGCUCAUAUGUUUGUUAUGAUUCGAUUAUAUACGCGUAUUGUAUUUUGUAUAUUCAACUACCCGCCUUCUUUAAUGUAGUUUUUAGCCAAUAAACACAAGCAAGAAGAUAUUGCUUUGUUAUCGCCCUUCAUCCCGGAACCUCGGCGACGAGAAAUGGAAUAUUACCUCCAAUACUAAAACACCAUCUUUCCCUCUACCCACAGGUAAGAGUGAAGAAUUGUCGUAUGGGUCAUACCUAUAACUAAAGCAGACCCAAAGUAAUGACGACAAAACAUUGGCGACGAGGAGGGGAUGCUCAGUAUUUUCUAAGAUAGGUCUUAGACAAGCAUUUCAACAACUAUCCAUGGAUGAAAAUUCCCAAAACCUAUGUACUGUAAACACAUUUAGGGCUGUAUCAUCCAAAAAGACUUCCUAUGGUGUUGCUAGCAGUCCAGCAAUAUGGCAGCAAACAAUGGACAAAAUAUUUGCAGGUACAAGUUUGGGGGGAUAAUUCCUGGCCAUAUCUCUCUGGUCUCCAGGGGACCCAUAUCCUGUGCUUAUUGAGGACCCACUCCACCUCGCACCUGCUUGUGCCAUCUUGAUCUACUCUGUUAAACAUUCCAAGAAGUCGUCUUUUCAUUGUCUAACGUCUAGUCAUCCCUCCAUCGUAAACCUCACCAGCUGUGGUCUUUAUUCUGCUCCAUACGUUCUUCAUGUCUUCCAGUUCAGCCUAUGGGAUUUGAUCACAUUUAAGUGGGAUUAUUGAAAAAUAAUAGCUACUUUAUAUUUCAAGAAUCUGAUCAUUUUUGUUAAUGUGGUCUGACUUCAAAAUGCAACUACUUGUACAAUAUGCUAAUGUAAUGAUGCAUCGAGUACAUAUAAUCAAAAGAGCUUUUGUUCUUUCUUGAAGUAUACACAAGAAUUAAUUCAUACAGCUAGGAAAAUUUCCAACAUGGUAUUGUAUGCUCGACUGAAUUGUUAAUGAAGUGCUAAUUUUUGAGAUUAUAGUGAAAAAAGUAAAUAUUUUUCAAGGGUAUAUUUAAAUACAUACUUUGUUGUGAAUAACUAAAGUUAAAAUAACUUGAAUGAAAAUUGAAAUUGGUUUUCAAAACCAUUAAAAUUACCAUCUUGAUAGAUUUUUUUUCUGUGAUUAUUUUUAAACAGUGUAAGCAGAUGCUAUCUUCUUUAGUCUUGUAUGGCAGUAAUUGAGAUGGGAAAAUUGGAACAAGAUGUUCUUUGAAAUACAUAGCUAAAUUAGUAUAGGUCAGAGAGAGCAUUGAUACCUCAACUUGAGAGACCUCAUCUUAGCAGUUAUUUUUCCUUAUGCUGCCAUUUUAGAUGUCAUGUAUUUUUAGAUAAUUCUCUUCAAUUGAGUGAUGAAGUGUAAAGUACAGGUUAAUUUAUGUUGGAAUUGCCUGCCUUAGGGAAAAGGCUGAACUGGUUCUUUUGAAGCCAAGGAAUCGGCUAAGGAUGUCCCUCACCCUGAUACUUGUCAUCCUGAACGUGUUCUUACAAAAUUUGUGUUUCACUCCAGGGAUGUUAAGGAAAUUCUUGAUAAUCUUGAUAGCUGGAGUGGGGAAGAUCCUGAUUGUUUCCUCUUUGUUUUCGCAAAAAAGUUUCAGCUGUGUUGUAUUCCAAUAUUCGUAGAUUCUAGAGAUUGUCAUUGUACGAUCUUUGCGGAUGAGUGCAAGCUUGGUAAUACAGUGCCUGUUCCCAAAAGUGGCAUAUCUGCAAACUGCAUUGCAGUAACAACGGGCCAAUCUCUAUUAUCUCUGUGCCCUCGAAAGUUGCUUAAAAACAUUCCAGCCAAUGUAUAUAGUACAUGUAUGUGGAAUCUAAAUGAAUUUUAGCUCUUAGUCAAUACGCAUACAUGAAGCAGUUAGGUAUCUGGGAUGCUCUUUUAGACUUGACAUGCCAUUUGCAAGGAAACCUUGAUAUGGGUUUUGAGUACAGAAUAAUUCAAAUAGAUUUUAGUGUUGCUUUUGAUUUAGUUAAUCAUAAGGCACUUAGUUAUAAUCUUAGUGUGGGUGGAUAUGUUUUGGGAUUCCUUCAAGGUUUCCUUACAGGCAGGCAGCAGUGAAUUGCUGUGGACGGGAUCUUGAGUGAACCAAGACCCAUUGUGUCAGGAAUUCCACAGAGCACUGUUCUUGGUCUGCUGUUAUUUUUAGUGUAUAAAGGUGAUUUGGUUGUUGGCCUGGGAAACUUGAGAUUUUUUAUUCCUCAUGCUUUUGGACUUUGGAAGAGCUUCCCAGUGGAUGUCGUGCAAUUGGAACUUCAUUAGUUCAGGCGAAGAUGUAAUGCAUUACUACCCUAAUACAUACUAUUCUUCUUGAAUUUUAAUAAUUUGUAUUUGUAUCUAGUUAAUUUAUUUUCUUAUUUAAUAAGCGAGAUCUUUUGGUUGUUUCCCUUUACUUCGUCUUAACUUUCUAAUGAACAUCACAUUCUUUUGGAAGCUUGAAUUUCAAGUCGUUGGCCUGUGUUGACUCGUUCCAUAUGAAUAUAAUAGUAAUGGGGAGUUGCUGUUAGCUGUAGGAUUUCUGGCAAAUGUUCAAGUGUUGGCUGUAAUGUAGGUCUUCGUUACUUUAUGGACUUUGUGAGAAAGCUAGAACCCCGAAGUGUCAUAAGUUGAGGUGGCCACUGUGGAUGGAAAGUUAUGAGGCAGUCAGAAUUACAUAUUCUGUCUGAAUUUGAGAAAAUUUCUUCCUAGCCUUAGAUUGUACUGUGAUCUAGUUACCCAUUUCCUCAUGUAUAGUUUAUUUUGCAGUUUUCAUAAUAUUGCACUAGUUAUAGAAGGUUAAAUUGAUCUAAUUUUUUCUGGAAGUCUUUUAAUGGCUCAUCCUAACAUCAUAAGUUAUUACUUCACAUUAAAAUAUAGGGUACAGAUCUUCAAAAAUCUUUGUAACAAAUUUUAAUGUUUCAUUUUCAUUUGUCAGCAGAAUAACAGGGUAAUUUGAGUAUGUAUAGGCUACACCACAGAAUGUAUUAAAAUUUUCCAAGUAGCCACUAUUUUAAACUUGUACUAAAGUACUAUUUGAUCAGUUUCUUAUAAUCUUGUUUAAACCAUGUUGUAAGGUACUAUCUGAUAAGUUUCUUAUAUAGUCUUGUUUAAAUCAUGUCAUCACAAUCUUCAAUUUUUGCUGGGUACCUUUGUAAGUUUAUAGUAUUUCUUUGAGAUAAAGGUAAAGUUAACUGGGAAGUAUACAUAUAUAACUGGAAAUUGUAUAUACUGUAAAACAGUGAGGUUUUUUAAUCCUUUAAAUGUAAUGUGCUAGAGUUGUCUUACAAUUUAUUGUCAAUUAUUGUUUUUUUGUUUCACAAUACCAUCUCAGGAACUUUUAGAACACUAGUCACUUGUGAGGUGGGUACUAUAGUAAAUCCCUGUAUGUCUCUUGUAUUCUUUGCUGUAAAAUAUACAGAAAUACCCUGGUUACAUAUUCUGUAAACUUGCCUGCAUGUAGUAUUUGCUCAUUUUUAUAAAUGAUGUAUGUACUGUAAAUGUACAGGAUUGUGGAGGACUAAAUGCCUACCCCAUAAACUGUAAACAUUGUACUUUUAGUAACUACAAUGACCAUUGUUUGUUGAUUUCCUUACAAUGAUUGAAUAAGCCUUCCACUUCAAGCCUAAAACAGGAAAUAUUUGAAUGUCCCACUAUCAGAAAGAAGUGCCAACGCUAAAUUAUACCAAAGGCUAUUAAAUGGAAAGCAUAUCCAAAACUUAUAAGGUAUUCUAAUGGGCAAGUUGUCAUUGUGUCUACUAACAGUAUGAGGUUUCCUAAUGAAGCACUAAUUAAUAGCUACAUAGUGAAAGCAUGUAAAAUCACUUCCAAGAAUGUAAAUUACAUGAUUGUAUAAAAGUAAUGCAGGCUGUUUACAUAUGGUAUAUUUGUGAUGUAUGUACUGUGUACAACAAGCAAAAGUGCAUUAGUUUAAAGUUUUUAACUUUUAAUUUUGCAUAAGAAAAAUUACAAGGACAAACUUUUUUCUAACAAGAAAAUCUCUUCUUUCAGUGUUCCCCAAAAAGGGCUGACCUUAAGGGAACAAAGCUUGUUGGCGCAAAGGAGCCUGCCACCAGGAGUCGUGAACAAUCCCAAAGCAACUCCCAGAAGUUUACUUUAAUCCCUCCUUUUUUUUUUUUUUUACAGCUAAGUGGAUAUAACUGUGAUUACUGGGAGCAUUUGAUCAUCUGGAUAAUUGCCAGUAACCUAAAAUUCAUUGAAAUAGGUAACUAAACUCAUAACUUCACCCAGAGAGAAAAGACUUAUAACUUGUUACAACUAGGUAGAGUUUACUUAACUGAACUAGUUCUCCAAGGUUAGAGAUAUCUCAGAAGCAAAUUUAACUAGUGAAGUUCUAUGUCUAUUGUAACACAAACAUGUCAAAAUUUAACAUUACUAUAUAAUGAACAAGGAGUAAAGUUGCCUUGUAAAAUUAUAAUGGAUGUACCUUGUGGAUUUAGAAAUUUUCUCUCACGAAAGUGACCUAACACCAUCUUUGGCACUGCAAUUGACUUGCGAGCACAAUCUGGAAAGUAAUGUUUACAAAAGUAUUUGGGUAACUUUAUAAAUAUGUACAAUACAUUCAUAUGCUGACAAAUAACGCAUCUUAACAGUAGAAGUCAUCAUCCUCCUCUUAAACAUUUUGACUUACAAAGCUAUGUGGAAGAACCAUUGUUUAUGCUUUUGUUUUCUGAAGAUUUUAUAUUCACACUUAAGUGAUGUGGUAUCUCCAAAGUCAUACAUAGCAUACCAUAACUGUCUAUAAUAUAUCAGAUGGAAAGCAAGCAUUCCACUAUUAGGAAGAGUUUUGUUCAAUAACUUGUAGCAGAAAAAUUACAAACCCUUCGAUGUUCUUACCAGACAAUAUUCUUCACUGUCAGCCAAAGGAAAGUCAAUGGAAAAAUUUGACUAUUGGUUGAGUAAUGAAGCUUGGAAAGUUUCUCAAGCCCUUCAGUGUUCAAGAUUUUAUUCUCAUGUGCUGUGAUACCUCAAAUACCUUUAAGAAUUUUGAUCCAUCUAUUAAGUAAAAUACACUAUCUGGAAAAAUAAACAGCACUGUCAUUGGCAUCAAGAUUAAGUUAACAGCACUGUCAUUGGCAUCAAGAUUAAGUUAUGAUUUAUUUACCUAUUUUCAAUAAAUUUCAGCCAAUUGGAAAUGGUCCAAGUGAGAAAAUGCUUCCAAUAAUCAUAGAAUUGUCAAGUGCCCCACUGUUUACCUUCACUAUAAGAAAAAUUUUUGGGCACAGGACAGUCCUUAAAGUUGUUAAAUGACUUCUGUGCAUCCGAGUAGCAAUAGAGCAGCAAAGACUUGGCAGCACAGUCCCAUAAGGCCAGCCCCUUGAGGUGUGGGCAUACAGCCUUCAUUUUUUCCAUUCAUAUAACAAACCACACCUGGAAGAGAACUUCAACCUUAGAUUCAAAAUAACAAUAAUGCCUGGGACCAUGCUGUACCCUGCAGAACCCUAAAACAACAUCUAAUCAGUUUUUAGAGCCAAUUUGCUGGCCCUUCUUUGCCAUUAGAAAACUUUCCUUUCGUUACAGGACAGUGUUGUGGAUUUUUGUCUACAUAAUAAUUUCCUUAUUAUCCUGUAUUCUACAAAAGUAAUAGACAUAAAAUCAAGUUUAGACAACCUGCUACCUGUCCCAUUAUGUACCUUCAACUAAGUAUAUGCUAAACUUCCUUCUAUCCUGCCACCCUAUCUGCCUCAAUAAACAGUAUUUUCUAGAAUUUUAAUGUCUUUAAUUUGGAAAAAUUAAACAGCCAAAUAUUUUGUCAACAACCAUCAUUAUCCUUGUCACUAUUUUUAAACUAGCUAACCUCACCUCUAACAAUAUUCCAAUUUUUGCACUUAACAAAAACAGAAAAUUAAACUAAUUUAUAACUUACUGUUAACAAGCUUUGGAUAUCUGGUUUCAGCUUCCUUUGACUCUCAUUACUAUGUCCUUUAAGAGGUAGGUCUAGGAUCCUUUUUAGGUCAAACCCCACUCCUAUACGCUGUUAUCUUUGGAUUUGGGCUAGAUAAAGACAUAAGGCUGCACCUCCCACUGACUAUUGCAUAAGAAAAUAACUAAUGAAAAUCAGUGAUCUAAAAAUAAUCAGGUGUUAAUUGUAAAUGCAAUAAAACUUUUAUACUAAAACCUAAAAAUAAAUAUGUAUCCUUA